GUGUUGUAUGAAAGGAGAGAUGUUUAGCACUCCCCUUGACAAGGAUGGAACACAUAUACCGGUUAAGGCACAGCUGUUAUCAGCUCUUAACCACAUUUUUUC